rnacentral:rRNA from 1 species
AGUGAACGCUGGCGGUAGGCCUAACACAUGCAAGUCGAACGGCAGCACAGUAAGAGCUUGCUCUUACGGGUGGCGAGUGGCGGACGGGUGAGGAAUACAUCGGAAUCUACUUUUUCGUGGGGGAUAACGUAGGGAAACUUACGCUAAUACCGCAUACGACCUACGGGUGAAAGCAGGGGAUCUUUGGACCUUGCGCGAUUGAAUGAGCCGAUGUCGGAUUAGCUAGUUGGCGGGGUAAAGGCCCACCUAGGCGACGAUCCGUAGCUGGUCUGAGAGGAUGGUCGGCCACACUGGAACUGAGACACGGUCCAGACUCCUACGGGAGGCAGCAGUGGGGAAUAUUGGACAAUGGGCGCAAGCCUGAUCCAGCCAUACCGCGUGGGUGAAGAAGGCCUUCGGGUUGUAAAGCCCUUUUGUUGGGAAAGAAAAGCAGCAGGUUAAUACCCCGCUGUUCUGACGGUACCCAAAGAAUAAGCACCGGCUAACUUCGUG